UUUACUUUCACGCAACCAUCUCACUCCCCAUUUCUAUUCAGAGUUGUAUCCCACAAUCUUCUCUCUCACUCUCUCGGAUAUCUUCUCUCCAUUGUUUCUCUAUGCAUUUUUCAAAUAAUCGUUUUUCAAUUUUUUUAAUUAAUCCUCUUUCUCUCAUUACUUUUCUCACUGUACUUUGGAUUAAGUGCUUUCUAUUUGACGUAUAAAUUUGAUAUUUGUUUGGGAAGUUUUGAUUGGUAAGCUCAUUUCUUAUCUCAUUCUUCUUCUCUUUCUUUGGGUGUUCUAUUUUUGAGAGUAAAUUGGAGAUUUCAAAGAGAGUAGGGAUUUUGGAAUGAAGACAUUUUGUGUUAGCAACUUCCCAUUUGGGUGUUGUGUUUGGGGUCGUCAAAGCUCUCUUCUUGUUCUUCUUUUUUUAGAUUUUAAUCUAAUCCUUGCAAUAUUUUUGUGAUAUCAAAAAUAUGAACAAGGAAUCGAAAGAACUUGCAGGAGAACUUUUUUGCGACUUGGAUAGUGUCGGAAUAUUAUCAGCGACGCCAUCAACAAUGCUCAAUCGAAAGAAUUCUGGGAUCAAAUAUUGGAUCAAAGUUUUGAUUCUCGGCUUCAAACUUUCUUUGACAUCAAUUUAAGCAACUUUUGCAGUUUGCUUGCAGAAUUAAGGAUUUAAUGAACAAAAUCACACCAGAAGAGGUUAGUCUCUGCAGAUAACAUUUAAUACCUUUGGCCUCCUCAUUUUGUGUUGUAAUUGUAGAUAGGCUUUGGUGCAAGAAAGUAAGAAAAACAUGGACUGCAAAUUUGCUCAAAGGCUGCUGGAGUUAAGGAUAAACAAUAUUUUUCUGGCAUCUUUUUCGUUGAACAUCUAAACUCAUUGUAUGCACAUUGAUAUUUUGAUCUAAAUUAGGAAAGAAAAACAAACAAACAAUUACAAUCAAAUCUAAACCAAAUAGGUAACUGACUCAUUUACCAAGAAAGGAACCAAUUAACUUAGAGAUUCUUUCUUAAGUCAAAAUUCUCCACACCCUCCAAGUUGGCUCAAAGAUGCCUAUAAACUACAUUUUUAUAUAAUGUUGUCGAAUGUAUCUAACAAAUAACAUUUUAUAUUAAAUCUUUAUUAGAGAUGGGAAAUAUUAAGCAUCUUUACUUUGUUAGAGCUCCGACAAGUGAUGUGUUGAUUGAGGAAAAUAUAAUGUGGGAUUGAGGUAAAAUAGUGAAAAAUGUUCAAGUCAGCAUGAUAGAAGAACAAGAAGAACAAGGUCAGAGUUGUAUUCAGAUUGCAUUCUCAUGUGACACAGGUAACUUCAUCUGAACUUUGUUAGAGCUCCGACAAGUGAUGUGUUGAUUGAGGAAAAUAUAAUGUGGGAUUGAGGUAAAAUAGUGAAAAAUGUUCAAGUCAGCAUGAUAGAAGAGCAAGAAGAACAAGGGCAGAGUUGUAUUCAGAUUGCAUUUUCAUGUGACUCAGGGUGAAGUUGAUUGCCCAUAUUACAGGGUGAAGUUGAUUGCCCAUUUUACCUACAGACUGGCUGGUUAGUAAAUUGAGUAACAACAGGAGCACAUUUUAGAAGAGAGAAAUAGUGAGAUGUCUGAUUACUUUGAAAUGUGUUGUUUAAUUAAUUAGCUGCAAGUAUGGUACCAUAUGUCACCACAAUCAUCCUAAAAGAAAUGGUAAAUGGGUGUGUUCACCAUGUUUUGACAUUUUUCAGUUGACCUAAUGUUUCAAAUAUUAAACUUUCUUUUCCAGCAAUCAACCCCUCUUGUAGCUGCUAUCGCACCUAUUAUAGAUUCUCCUCCUACACAUUUUAGCU